rnacentral:lncRNA from 1 species
GCGGCUCCGCCGGUCCUCUUUCGCGACUGAAGUUCUCAUUCGGCUAACUUGUAGCAGAAAAAACGGUGAACACGGUGGUCAAAAAAUCACGCGAAACUGGAAACGGGAAGGGGGUCAUCGGAGAGGGUUUUAGGUUUUGACCACGGCAGCUCGGCCGAGCUUUGCCCACUGUUUUCAGUUCACCCAUCGACCUUUUUGCUCUGAUAUGGUCAAAUGGAGAUUCGAGAUUGAAUUCCGAGCAGGAAGAGAAAAAUUUUACCUUUUUUGGCGGUCGGCGGUGACUCCAGUGUGGCGGCAGCGGCGUCCCUUCGGCAACUGGUCUUUCCUCCGAG